UAUGCACACGCCCCUAUCAAAGUGAUUUUCCUAAAACACAAAUCUUGUCCUGUCACCACUCUCCUAGAAUCUCCUCCAACAGCUCUCUGUUGCUCUUAGACUGAAGUCUAAAUACUUCCAUGUCACUUUCAAGACUCUGUGUUACUUGAUUCCAGAUGUCUCCUCUCCAACAUACUGACCCUUGCAGUUGUUCCCUCCUGCCUUAGGACCCUUAUGUGGAAUCUUUUGUUUAGAGCACUCUCCCGAUCAUCCAAGUUUUUUACCUUAUAGCCCCGCUGCUCCACCCUCCAAUGAGCCAGUCUACUUUCAAACUUACCUCAGGUUUCAUUUGAUCCUUCAGACUUCAAUUUAGACUUCUACUUUCUCUAAGAAGACAUCUCUGAACCUCCAUAUUUGGAUUAGGUGAUAUGCUUCCUUGAAAUCCUAUAUUAUACCUAACAUAGACUUUAUUAUAGUGUGUUUUGAUUUUUUUGUUUACUUUUCUGUGUUUCUCGCUAGACACUAAGCACUGUAAGGUCAAGUACAACAUUCAUCUUUUUCACUGACUCUUCUUAGAGGUCAAGUGUUUCUAUCUGAAACAAUAUUUUGUGAACUGAAUAGCAAUAGACUUGGUAAGAUUAUAGAUCUCAGAGCAUAUGUAAAUGAGCAAUUGAAAUCUGAAAGGACUCACAGGAACAUAUAUGAUCUGCUUUACAAAGACGACCAGGAAUGAUAGGCAUGUGAUCUGAAAAAAAUUGAGGUCAUUUAGAAAUUGCUUCCCACACCCCAAACAAAAGACAUUGCCAAAUCAAGGCAAAUGUUACCAAAAUUCCUUAGGAAUUACUUGCUGGUUUACUUGCAGAGAAAGUAAAGAGUACUCAGAUUAAGAAGACAGCAUUUGCUUCUACAACCUUGCCACAGCCUGACAUCAAGUUUCAGGCCAAGUUGAGGGUUUUCUUUUCUUUAUUUUUUUUAAGUUUAUUUAUUUAUUUUCAAAGAGAGAGAGAGAGAGAGCCAGUGCAAGAGCAGGAGAGGGGCAGAGAGAGAAGGAGAGAAAAUCCCAAGCAGGCUCCAUGCUGUCAGUGCAGAGCCUGAUGAGGGCUCCAUCCCCAGAACCACAAGAUCAUGACCUGAGCCAAAAUUGAGAGUCAGGCGCUUAACUUACGAAGCCACUCAGACGCCCCCAAGUUGAGGGUUUUCUAACAAAAAUAUUCUCAGUCUUUGUGGAUAACCAGAUCCAUUAGAGAAUCUGUAGUACUUAUAGUCUGUGUAAGAAUUCAAAAGCAUGGAAUGGAGACAUUUACAAGUAUGGUUGACCAUUACAGGUCCUGUGGUGUGAAAACCCACAUGAAACCAGAUGAACGUUAGGUAAAUAUUCUUUCUUAGAGGUUCAGCUGUAUAAACUAAAACUAGGAAUGAUGAAGAAGAAGAAAGGAAGAAGGAAUCCAUGUUCCUUAGUGGACACAGAAGUGAAGAGCAGCCAGCUAAAUUAACCUGGAUUGAUGAAUAUUAUACUGGAUGACUAUUGUGAAACACCAAAGAAAACACUCCAGGAAUUCUGAAACAAACAAACAAAAUGCGCAGGUAACAAAGUGAAUUUCUAAAAAGAAUUCGUGUUAAUUCAGGUUGGAUACAAUUGUUGAAACUUGAUUAUUAGAGACAAUUCAAAAUCUUCAUAACACCACCAAAAAGCAAUAGAUGACACCAUUUAAAUUUCACGGUAAGCUAUCCAAACACAAAUAGAUGUGUUCUAUACAGAAAUGAAGAACAGAGGGACUGGGUGUGCUUUAUGAUAGCUUUGUGACAAAUGACACAUACAUAGAGUGCAGUGUAACUGACUCUAAAGCAAAUUCAGCUGCUUUUUUCUGGUCUCUUCUUUUUUCUGUAUAAUGUGUACAGAAGUACAAAUGUUUAGACGGCGUCUAGUGACUACAAACAAAGAGUAUUCAAUAUAGUGUGUAUGUUUACCAAAGAAAUUGUGUUUUAGAUGGGAAAAUCUGAUGUUCUUUUUAACGACUAUAGAAUGUGGAGUAGUUAGGAUAGGGAAAAGGGUAUUUGUUUUAUUCAUGGGCCAUUGCAAAAUGAUCCUCCUGUGUCGUAGGGGAUGGUGAGCUCAUGGAGUCUGAAUCACUGACUUACAAGACAGAUCUAUUUCCAGGAAAGGAAAAAGAUUUUGUUGAUAAUGUAAUGAGAAUGCAAAUAAUUUCUUUGAUGAUGCUAGAAUUUUGGUAGUAUUAGUCUGCUGCUAGCAUGCUAUGAAUUCUGUGUAAUUAAAUGGAAUUGGAUUGUGGACCUGGCUUUAUGAAGACGGCACUGGUUUCUGAGUAAUACCCUAUUCAAACACCUCACUCUGAUGUAUUGCAUUAAUAGAUCAUCAGAAGCAGUUGUCAGUCCAAUGAUGUAUUAGUGUAAUACAUGAGAACGAGACUCACUGAUGAUGUAUUUAGUACUCACAAGAUGGCAGUGUCCAAAGAAGAAAUGGGCCCACUAAGGAAGCCAUUAUAAUUAUAGGAUGAAGUCAGUUCAGCGUGCAGCACUUUACAAGCCUUCUCAGAAGGGUGCUGGGUUGGUGUAUUGGUGCCGAACCUACUCUUAGGACACUGUCGCUGGCACAAUGAGAAGAGCAUUGUCUUCCCAGUGCAAAAUCAUUUCCACUGGUGAACGGCAAGAUAAUAUACAUAUGUCUAGUUACCAUUCAAUAUUUUAGUGCAUGUCAAUGUCUGUGUUGGCAGGAAGCAUUGUGUACUGUUAGUGCUGCCUUGUGUGGGGAAAAAAUCUCUUAAGCAGGAUUUUCUGGGAUGAUACUCAAAUAUAUUAUUGUAACAGCAGUUUUCCAACUGAUAGUUUCUGCCAAAGGGGAAGCUUUUGCUAGUAAGUGUCUACAUGCCACCAAUCAUGGGCACAGCUUCUGGCAUUAGCUAGAGAGGCAGAUAUUUUAAGUAAAACAUUAAACUUCGGUCUGACUGUCAUACAUUUUCUGCUAAUAGAGCUUGCAACACCUACUAUAAAUGUAGAUGAAUUAGAGACUCCCAGUGACCUCUAUCUACCUCCUGCUGUGCUUUUUCUAAAAGGGUAAAAGAGAGACUUUUAAAUGUUUAUAACAUAGGGCUAAAAAGGCUUUUUUAUGCAAUGGAAUCGCAGUUACUGUUCACCUUCUUACAGCAGCUGAUUGCAUCAUAAAUAAAACAGUAGGGAUAGUCAUCCCAGCUGUGGAAUGAAUGCAUCCAGAGAGCAACCAGAAGGCAUUGGUGAAGGAUAGGGAGUUUCCUUCCCAGGAUCUGGGCUGGUAAAGAUUGGAGGUGUCAUUGCAGUUUGGAGGGGAAGAAGUGGCCGGGGAAGCGGAGGAGGAAGCAGAGAUGAUAGUUGAUACAUGGCAUUUCCUUCCCUGGAAAUUUAGUAACUGAGGUAUAUUUUGAAGUUUCCUGACCCCCUCCCUAUUCAGGAAGGGGAAGCUGAAGGGGAAAAGAAGGAUUCACCACAGAGACCUCAAGAUGCUGAGGCAGUGCUUGUCGCCAUUUUCGGAGCCAGGCUGGCAGUGGCUUGCCCACACUAUGGAAAACAACCAAGUGUAGAGCACGACACUAAAUUUAGAGGGAAAACAGGCAUAGGUGGCAUUCUUUUUAUUAAGUGGCAUUUCUACUAUUGGAUAUAUUAUCACUUUUAAAAUUUGAGGUAGAGAACUCACUUUGUGAUUUAUGACUUAUAAAUAGAAAUUCUUUCAGUGGACUCCUUUAAUUACCUCUGUUUGGUCUAAAGGCUUAGAAAAAUGUUAUGGAAACAAAGCAUUGCGCACUUUAAGUCGACAAGAAAAAUGAUUUGGAAAUGCUUAAUAUAUCUAAUCCUUUUUAAAGAAUGAUUGUUUUAUGUAAUGCCCACUAAAGUAUGCAUUCUCCUAAAUGUCUCUUGAUUUUCCAAACUAUUAACCCCUAAUACUCAGUUCUAUAUCAGACUCGUUAGUAACACUGCUGAACUGCCGAAUGAUCCUUUUAUACUAUGUAAGUUUUCUUAACAUCUAGGAACUAAGGCUUGGGCUAUAGACUUGAACCUAAGAAUGCAUAGACAUCAUGUAAAUUUUUAAAAAAUAUUUUUGUGGGUCCCUAAGACACCAAAAGAGGUAAAUCUUCAAUAUGAAUUUCAGAUUAUUACACUAUAGCUUGUCACCACUUAUUUUCAUGUGAGAUAAAGAUGAUUUUUACAUUAACUGAAGGCAGUUUUGUUAUAUAUUUAAAUACACACAGGUAUUCUUACUUUUGCCAAAGAUUUAGUUAUUUGUCGGAGAGUUUCAAAAUUCUUUUCAUUAAAAAUGUACAUGGUUAAUGCACCGAAUAUUUGUCGUAGACUUCCACAUUAUUAAGGAACGUGUAUUAUCGUGUUUGCACAAAGUUAAGCAACAGUGAUGACAAAAUUUAAAAGAAAACCCUGGGGAUUUUCUUUGCUUUAAGUAGUAGAAACAACUUAGACACUACCCCAGACUCCCUUUCCCUGCCUUCAUUCCUCCCUCCUUCUCUCCUUUCCUUCCUUCCUUCCUUCCUUCCUUCCUUCCUUCCUUCCUUCCUUCCUUCCUUCCUUCCUUCCUUCCUUCCAUUGAUUAGAUAGUAAUAAUGGAGGAGGAAGGUUAGAGAAACAGGAAGAUACAGUAACACCUUCAAACUGUGAUAACCAGGAAAUAAUUAUUACCUAAAAAUGUGUAAUAUUUCUAAAAUACCACAUAGUUGCAAGUGUAUGUUAAUGAUAUUUCCAUAUGAUAAGAUGUAUUUUCUAUAUACAGGCCCAAUAACAGUCCAUAAGUAACAGGGAUAUAAAUUAAUUGUAAAAUUAACAAUAGGAAAAUUCACCCUUUGAAAACACUAAUGUUCUGAGGAAUGCUUUUAAUAGUAGACAAAAAAAAAAAAAAAAGAAUGAGAAUAUGGGGAUGCAAAAAAAAAAAAAAGAAGAAGAAAGAAGAUUAAACUCAGACAGUUAUGUGAAAAAUGAAAUGUUUGGGAUUUUGAAGCUUUUAUUCUAAUAGUGUAAACAUGCUCAUUUUAAGUAUAUUUCCAGUAUUUUAAAUAGUAUAAAAGAGAGCUACAAACGUUUUAUAUAAUUUAAAUUGCAGUAAACAAAAAUAAGAACCAGAACCCUAACAGAAAAAUGAAUUCUGAUCUUUCAAACAUUGUGCUGUAUUCAAAGACGUCUAAGGUAGCAUUAAAUCUAAGCCUGUACCCAAUACGUGUUGCACCAUCCAGGAAGUAAGACCAACCAAAAAAAUCCAGAGUUCUUAUAAACAUUGCAGAAGGUAAACACUGAUUGAAAUCAUUGCAAGUGGUUUGCAGUUUCCCAAAAAUUUAUUUUAAAAUAUAAACAAAUUCAAUACACCAUGCCAUUUUUUUUCUAGGAAAAAACUGUUUAAUCGCAUCAAGAUCUACAUUAUUGGAGUAAAAGAUUAAAUUGUUAUCUAAACGUGAAGCCCAAGGAGUAAGUUGCCUUGUGCGCUUUGAGACAAAAUUGAAAGCCUGGUUUAGUAAGACACAAAUCUGCCAUUUUCACCUGAUACUGAUGCAAAGAAUUCUUCAUCAAUUAAGCCAUUUUUCAAAGGUUUUGCUAAAAUUCCAGCUAGCGUUCACACUGGCAUUUUGAUAGUGGCACUUCUUUGCUUAAAUAGUUUUGACACCUAAUUGUCUCCAUAGACUUUUACUUAUAAAUCCAUUCCCCUGAAUCACUCUAGUUUGACAGCUGGAACUAUGGUUUGUCAUGCAGUAUGUGGCAAUUCUGUGAUGAGCAUGAGUGUCUUAACUCUCGUUUCCUCCCCAUACCUUAUCUUCCACUGUUUCUGUGUUUUUCUUUUCUUUCCAAUCUUUUUCUCCCUCUGCCUCCCUCUCUUUGUGUGUCUCUCUCUCCCUCUCCAAUUUCUAUGGCAAAUAGUCUAGGUUACCCUCUUCUUUCAGCGACAUAAAUGUUGCCUUUUCGCUUGAUGGAAAUUCGCCUCAUCGCUUUUCUCCAUCUUUUCAGGCUGUCUGAUCGUCUCAUUCUGGAAAUGACUAUUUCUUUUACUUUUUACAUGAGGAGUUAUUUUUCCUAUUACUAGCCUUCACCUUCACAGAUAUAAAAACCUAAUUGUGCACUGUAGUACAAAUGAAAUCCGAAAUUAUCAAGUGCAAAAUUAGCAUUAAAAAAUCAUAAGACAACAAACAAUAGGGCUUUUAUGUGAUUUUUGUAAUUGCAUGGGACUAGUUACUCUGGCAAUAAUUGUUUGUGCUUCAUUAACAUGCAAAAUGGUUUUAUAGACUAACCCACACACAAAAGAAACCAUUUUUGAUGAGAACUGUGCUUUGUUUAAUGUUAGACACCAUUGUAUUUGCUUUCCUAAUAUAACAGUUCUAAUUAGUACCUAGCACUCAUCCUGAGUUUUUCAGCUUGAACACUCUGAAGGUGACAAUCGAGUCACAAUUCCAUGGCACUCUUUGUCAGUACCUGUCAAAAUAUAGCUAAGCCUUUAGGAGUUGUGAUCUAAAUACUGAGAAAAAAAAAAGUUAAUAGUCCAGAAACAAUAUGUCUCUAGGUAAUUUUAAAAAAUAAAAUUGCACAUUAGCCCUUGCUUAAAAACAUAAUACCAUUAAUGCUAUUCAAUUAAGUGCAGCCCUGACAAAACAAGAUUUGUCCUAAUAAUUUCUCAGCAUUGUUUUUUAUCAUCCAACCUUUAUACAUUUGCAUGAUUCAUUUGAUUUUACCUCCCUGGUGAGGUAGCACAGAUAGAUGAAUAUCAAAUUUUGAAAUCAGUUAAUCUGUACUUGCACUCUCUUCAGAGGUGAUUAGCUGUUUAUCUUAAAAGCAUGGAAAAUAUAUUUUUUUUAACCACACUGAAGAAGUGACGCCAUUAGACGAAGACUUUGUGAAACUAAGCAUCAGGAAGAGUCCCGAUUUUUUCUACCAUGGAAAGCAUGAGGUCCUCGUUGGGGGCCUGUCUCUAGUUAGGAGAGAAUGCAGACUCUAAGACACGAAGACGAUUUCCCAACUGUUGUUGAAUCCCAUGUCCUCAUCCUCACAGAAAUGAUUGCAAGAGAAAACUAGGUUUAUUACGGAUGCUGCCAUUAAUGGGCGCUGACCACCCAAAGCAUACCAAACAUAAGACCUGUUAAUUUUGGGAAAAAUGACACAAAAGGGAGACUGAUUUAAAUCUUUAUCCUUGACUGGGCUUAUAGGAAAUACUCGAUCAGGGGUGCCUGGGUGGCUUAGUCAGUUAAGGGUCCAACUUUAGCUCAGGUAAUGAUCUCGCCGUUCAUGAGUUUGAGCCCCACGUUGGCUCAGAGCCUGGAGCCUGCUUUGGAUUCUGUGUCUUCCUCUCUUUCUGCCCCUCCCCUGUUCAUGAUGUCUCUCUUUCUUUCAAAAAGAAAUAAACAUUUAAAAAAAUUAAGAAAAAGAAAGACGUUCUCCCAAACGAGCCGUUUAUUAAUAUGCAUGCCAUGGGUAUAUAUUAGACAAUCAGUCACCAUCAAGCAAGGAGGGUCUUAUGUUCCCAUUUUUGUAGUGACUAAAUUUUGAGUCAUGAAAGAAUAGACCUAGAUCCAAUUCACAGAAGUCCCAAGUAAUUCACUUUUAAUUUGAGCAAGUAUCUUAUGUGUUUUGAAAAGCUCAUUAGAUCUAACUGUAGAAUUCUGCAUUUAUUAUGAGAAACUCAACUGAAACUUAGUCUAAGAAAAUUCUAUUUAGGAUUCAGGUCCUUUUUCCCUUUCACCCACUGCAUUACUUUUUCUUCAAUCUAACUCACCCUAUGCUGGAUCCUUUAGAUUUUCCAGAACCCUUAAAUGCGAAGAAUAACUACAGUGUUAUCAGAAAUAUUCUAAAACAGAUUAAAACUUGUGGUUGCUUUUCUUGGAAUAAAUCUAUUCCAAUCUAUUUUUCGGUCACUAAUAGCAUUCUCUUCUCUAAUUUUGUAUCCCAAUUCCACCACAUGGCAACAUAUUCAGAGUGUUUUUUUUUUUAUAACAAGGAGGAGGAAUCAUUGCUAACUUAGUCCUCCUGAAUAGCCCACUGACAAAUAUAAUGAUAUUCAAACACCCUUCUAUUCUUCAUUCCAGCAAUAUUCAGACCUCAUCAUCAGCUAAAUCCAAGCAACGUGUGUGUUUGGGGAGGGAAGGUGGUUUGCAACUGGGCAAAUAAUCAAAGCAGAGGAAUGAAUACAACCAUCUGUAUGGAAAUUGGUAAACUGCAAAUUGGUCCCCUAACUGGGAUUAGGGAGCAUACAUGUUUUCCCCAGCUCUGCUUCUUUCCCAGAAUUUCACAUACAUCAAUAACAAUGGCUUUUACUUCCUUCAGCUGAAGAUGGAGAGAGAGAUGCUUUAAAGUUGUCACUGUCAGGAAGGGUUUGUCCUGCAUAGUUAUAAGCCCAUUAUUUAAAAAAAAAAAAAAAAAAAAAAAGAAGCAAAAUGAAGGCUUGUUUCCUACAGUGAAUUUAACACUUUUCUUGCUCUGUAUUAUGGUGACAGUGCUGAAAAGUAGUAUGAGGAAAAAAAAGAAAAAAAGGAAAAAAUGGGAAUAGAUUUUUAAAACUCGAAACCACAAUAUUAUAUGAUGAACAUGUUGGGAUAUUUAAAUACGAAUAUACCUUUUAAAAGCACAGCUAGAACCAAAGAAUAUUUGAUAAUCUUUCAUUUUAUUUUCCUGUUCAUUUCUAUUUUUGCAGAAAUCCUUUUUGGGGUCUCCUAGGAACCUAGUGUAACACAACUGGGUAUAAUAUGAGCACUGAUAUUAGGAUCCCUAAAAUACAGUUGUUAAAAAUGUAUAAAUUAUAAAAAGAUAAGCCAAAGAGAAGCAAAUAAAAGUAGAUGAUCUAGCCUAAAUGAUUAGUUCUAAAGUUUAUUAUAGACAUAGUCUGAAAUAGUUGUUUGUUUAGAAUUCUAAAAAGCCCUACAACUUUUUUUUCUUUUAAUUUUUUUUUCAACGUUUAUUUAUUUUUGGGAUAGAGAGAGACAGAGCAUGAA